UUUUUCUUCUUCAUCAUCACUCGGACACUGGGGGGUUUUUAGGGUUUAUCCAUCUCCUCCUCUCUUCGCAAUCAUGGGGUCUCUAGGGCAAUUACAAAUCCAUCACCAACCAUUUCACCUCUCGCUCAGUCACGGCUCCUCGUCAUUCCCAAAAACCUUGUCUUCGUGUUCCUUCAGAUCCUUGCACCGUUCGACCUCCUCGCUCAAGUGUUCCUCCAUCAGUGCUUCAUCGUCCAAACCCCAAAACCCUAGGUUUCAUGUCUUGAAAUCUCUCCCUUCACGCCUCCUCAAAUCCACCUGCAUCACCUUCACCGCCGCCGCUGCGUUGUUCUUCGUGAAUCUCCAGCUCAAACCGCCCGCGUUCGCGGCUCCGUUCGCGGCGCCGUCGGUGGAAUCUAUGAAGCAGACGAAGGAAGAUGUUUCGUUGGAGGAAGGAGAGAGAGCGAUUGAGGAACACCUUGCCAGUCACCCCACGGAUGUGGAUGCUCUACGGUCGUUGAUGGAGGUGAGGAUAAAAUCUAAGAAGCUUGUAGAAGCAAUAGAGGUGAUUGAUCGUUUGAUUGAAUUGGAACCCGAUGAGAAGGAAUGGCCUGUGUUGAAGGCUAAUAUCUUUAGCUACAGUGGGGAUUUGGAAUCGGCCAAACAAGGGUUUGAAGAGAUUCUGGAGAAGGACCCUCUUCGUGUUGAAGCCUAUCAUGGUCUGGUAAUGGCGUAUUCUGAUUCGGGUAGGGAUUUGAAAGAGGUGGAGAAGAGAAUUCAGGAAGCGAUGGAGGAAUGCAAGAAAGAGAAGAAUCUCAAGGAUUUCAGGGAUUUCAAGCUGCUUGUUGCCCAAAUUCGGGUCAUCGAAGGGAAGCAUAAUGAAGCAUUGAAGCUCUAUCAGGAGCUUGUGAAGGAGGAACCAAGAGAUUUCCGACCAUAUCUCUGUCAGGGGAUCAUAUACACAUUGCUGAAGAAGAAGGACGAGGCCGAGAAACAGUUUGACAAGUUUCGGAAACUUGUCCCGAGGAACCACCCUUACAGAGAAUAUUUCAUGGAUAACAUGGUGGCAACAAAGCUUUUCGCAGAGAAGGCGGAAAGGGAGAUGGCUGGAUCAAAGAGCUGAGAGUGUGCCAACUGAACAAGGGUACGUUUCUUCCUGCAACUUUGAUCAAACGUUUCCUCUGGUGUUUUAAUUUGAGGAAGAACUUAGCCUCCUAUAGAGUAGAGGACUUGUUGUGCCACCCUUUAGGCGACUAGAGACUCCUGAAGACAGAUUCUCCUCCCCAUUGGUUGAAAUUCAGUAUUUACCUUUUUGUCUUCCGGAAUAGCGGCUCGGAUGCGUUGGGUAUAAAACGUCACACUCAAACAUUGGAUUCUCAGAAGAAGUUUACAUCAAACUUUUUUGUGGUACUCUCUCUCUCUCUCUCAAAGUUAUUUGGAGCUUGAAUGAAAUAUGGCGUAAAGUGUUUGUCCCGUUC